AACUAGACACGGCCCCUAAUUUCUCAACAACUUUUUGAUAACACGAUCGCCGCCUUCCAAUUCAAAGUUUUUUUUAAAAAAGGUCGGUUAGGACUUUCCGAUUUCUCUUCUGUUUUGCCGAUUAAUCUUAGAAGAUUCGUAUUUUUGCCGAUUAAAAAUGAGUCGCUCGUUGAAGAUGAUGGUUUUUCCAAUUAUUGGUUUGCUAUUAACGGCGAUGUUGCAGCUGACUCAAGGGCAGACCGUAGCUCCUUCUCCUUCAGCCGAUCCUCCUUCCAGUGGUGGUACUGCAAUUGAUCAAGGGAUUGCUUACAUUCUCCUUCUAGUAGCUCUUGCUGUCACUUACCUCUUGCAUUGAUUUCAAGAAUUCCUGGUUUUGAUGUAUUCUUUGAAGAGGAUAAUUUAUUACUCAAAUCACUUUUAUAUGUAUAAUUAACACGUAAUUUCCAACCCAGUUGGAGAAGCUGAAUGUUGCAGCAGUUUUUCUUUUCUGUAAUUUUAUCCUUGUAAUACUAUGAAUCACGACCAAUAAGGCAUUGAUUACUUAAAUACCUCCA